rnacentral:rRNA from 3 species
GACUCUCGGCAACGGAUAUCUCGGCUCUCGCAUCGAUGAAGAACGUAGCGAAAUGCGAUACUUGGUGUGAAUUGCAGAAUCCCGUGAACCAUCGAGUCUUUGAACGCAAGUUGCGCCCCAAGCCGUCAGGCCGAGGGCACGUCUGCCUGGGUGUCA